rnacentral:rRNA from 1 species
UACGUAGGGGGCUAGCGUUGUCCGGAAUCAUUGGGCGUAAAGAGCGCGUAGGCGGCCAGAUAAGUCCGGUGUGAAAGUCACAGGCUCAACCUGUGAAUGCCGCUGGAAACUGUCUGGCUAGAGUCCGGAAGGGGCGAGUGGAAUUCCUGGUGUAGCGGUGAAAUGCGCAGAUAUCAGGAGGAACACCGAUGGCGAAGGCAGCUCGCUGGGACGGUACUGACGCUGAGGCGCGAAAGCGUGGGGAGCAAACAGG